rnacentral:tRNA from 1 species
UCCUCAGUAGCUCAAUGGUAGAGCAUCCGGCUGUUAACCGGAGGGUUGUAGGUUCGAAUCCUACCUGAGGAGCCA